CCUACGGGGGGCAGCAGUGAGGAAUAUUGGUCAAUGGGCGCAAGCCUGAACCAGCCAAGUCGCGUGAGGGAUGACGGUCCUAUGGAUUGUAAACCUCUUUUGUCGGGGAGCAAGGCCCGCCACGUGUGGCGGGAAGGAGAGUACCCGAAGAAAAAGCAUCGGCUAACUCCGUGCCAGCAGCCGCGGUAAUACGGAGGAUGCGAGCGUUAUCCGGAUUUAUUGGGUUUAAAGGGUGCGUAGGCGGAAGGUUAAGUCAGCGGUAAAAUGUCGGUGCUCAACACCGGCCUGCCGUUGAAACUGGUCUUCUUGAGUGAGCGAGAAGUAUGCGGAAUGCGUGGUGUAGCGGUGAAAUGCAUAGAUAUCACGCAGAACUCCGAUUGCGAAGGCAGCAUACCGGCGCUCAACUGACGCUGAGGCACGAAAGCGUGGGGAUCGAACAGGAUUAGAUACCCUGGUAAUC
rnacentral:rRNA from 1 species